ensembl:lncRNA
AUCUUGUUUUGUUGUUUUUUUUUUCUUAACAGAUGGGAUGCAAAAGAAGGUGAGGACACGUCUUUUCUGAAGGAUGAUCCUGACAGCCAGAGGAACCUUGGUACAGACAAGCAGAAAAGCAAAGGUGAAGAGGUAGUGGAAGAGAACUGCACAGCUGAGUUGGAGGAGAAGGUGAAACCACCGAGCCUUCAAGAGCAUGGGAGGAGAAGUGGGAAGGCCUGGCCUACCCACAGUGGACAGAAGGAGGAAAGGAGAAGAGUGAAGGGGCUCAGCAAGGAGGUCUCUGAGGCCAGCACAGGUGACUUGGAGCCGAGGCCCAAGGCAAGUAAGGAACAUAUUGAGGAAGAUGCUAGCAGGAAGCCUGGCACUGCUGAUAUCCCCCAGGAGAAGGAGAGCACAAAUAGCAGUGCUUCACAAAGUAGCCUUCCAAGUGCUGUGCAAGCCACUAAGCACAGCAGCGAGGAGACCUUGUUAUUGCCCGUGGGAGCUGAUUUAGAUGGAGGUGGCUUAGAGAAAAAGGCAGCUUCUGAAUGGGAAUCCACUGAGGACUCUUCAAACAGCCAUGGAGGAAAGUUGGACACAGAUGCAGGAGACAGACUGGAUGCAGAUCAAGGACAGCUGGUGGGAAAAAGAGGGGAAGAAGUGGCCCAAAACACUGCCCUUGAGGGACAAACACUUGCUCUGAAAGGAGUUGAAGAUGCUGAAGACACUAAACACACAGGAGAGCCUUUGCCCACAAAGAAAGACAACUCCAAUGAGACUGUUGUUCCUGAGCAGGAUAUGGUGAAACUACAGUCCAGGGAAGGGGACCAGCCUGAGGAUGGCAAGGACAAGGACAGUGGGGACAAUCUCAACUAGCAAAUAAUGCACCAGUUUGCCUGAGAUGGAAGGAUAAUGUGCUGAAGGUGGUGGAUGAGAAGAGGAGCACAACGUUAGCCUCACUCUUUGAUCUUCUAUGAAAUCAACUUUCAGCACCUUCCCUGUACCCUUCAUCACCCCCAGCUCAGUUUCAGCAUCAGCCCUUGCUCUCCAUACGGGCAGGGAAGGCUACCCACACUUCUCACAAGAAAAACACCAUCACUUUUCUUUUGUAUUUGUUUUGCCUAUAUUGCAGCUGUGUGGCAAGCCAAUGAAAUGUCUACUGUAUGCACUUUAUUUUGUUUAAUAACUAAUUCUGUUUAAAGUUAAGAUUUUUCCUUCUGGGCAGCCUACCCACUUCCUCCCCAGAGGCUGGCAGGGAAGCACAUGUGCCAGUAAGGACAGCAGGGGCUGCUGGGCUCUCCAGAGCAGACAAGAGACAAAGCAGAGCACUAGGAGACAGCACGAGAGGCUGUGUCGUAACUCAGUAGGCGGGUGAAGCAGGGCAGCUCUUGUAAUAGAGAUCUGUAUGUAGUUGAAGUGGUGGUGGGCACGUACAGUAGUUGCAUGGGUCACAGGCACAAAGAAGACAGAGUGUUCUUGGGUUACACUGUUGAGCACGGUUGCUUUUGACAAGUGCAUGUCAGCUAUGGCAUCUCAUCCUUUCAGAGGCCACUCUACUCCUCCAGCUAGAUAAGGUAGGGUAGAAACAUCACAACACUCUCAGACAUAGGGUUAGGAUUUUGGUUCAUCCUGUAUGGAGCCAGUAGUUGGAUCCCUGUGGGUCCCUUCCAACUUGGGUUGUUUGAUGGUUCUAUGUCAGGAGAGCACAGUUUUUUCUUAUGAAAGGUAGCUGCUAUAUUGAUGAGGUGAAGCUUGGCAAGUACUGCUGCCUAAGACCAAGAAGUACAAAAGCUGCAGUGGCUGGGGAUACAGCUCUGCAUCAAGUGGGACAAGGAGUAGAGCAGCACAAACGCAAUACCCUUCCUUCUUUAACAGCAAGGAAGGAGCUGGCAGCAAGGAACACAGCCAAACCGGAGCUGCAAGUCAGAGCUUCCUGUCAAGUGCCAACCUUCAUGGUUGUCCAUUCAAAGCCUUGGGCCUGAACAAGAAGGUAACUGCUCCCUUGGAAGCUACCAAGCAUAAUUUUUGAGCAAACCUUAAAAGAUACCUUUCAGAUUAAGGAGCUGGAUGAUCAUUACAAGCACAAAUGAGCAAAAACCCCAGCUUGGGUUCCCAAGCAACUGUAAGAAACAGCAAACAGCAACUACCAAAAUAUUGCUACUAUUAAGGAGCAGGCAAAAAGCAGGCACAAGUGCUUAGAUUUUUAAGUGACAGCAAAGCAAGGAUAUCACCCUUCCUUUGAAUCACUGCCCUAAAACCUGAAGCAGUUUCAGGAGUCAACUGCAGACACGUAUGCGCGGAAAUUUACUGGAUUUCAUUGCAAGAUGCAUUUGCUAGCCAAAAUGGCAGGCUGCCUUGGUGAUAAGGUUGGCAUAUGUGGUGGACUGAAAUACUGUAUGCUGUUUUAAUAAACUAGUAUUUGCACAUAUAAACA